ensembl:lncRNA
CUAAUCAAGGGCUUCAUUAGUUGCACCAGGUGUGCUUGAGCUGGAACACAUGGAAUACCUGAACAGGCUAGGGGUAGAAAGAUAUGGAAUACCUGGACCGGGCAGAAAAAGGAAGCUAUCGACGGCUGCAAGCAGAUUUCUAAGACUCUGGAUCCACCACAACCCUGUUCAGAAUAAAGAGCUUACUGAAAAUCCACAUGGUCUGCUGUUAAUCCUGGCUUCAGGUAGACUGAGGAAAUCUACCUGUGAAUGAUAUCAUUGCCUCCUCGUGGCUCCAGGGUCCCUGGUUUGAUCUUGAGCUUGGUGUGUGUGUGUGUGAGAGUGUGAGAGCCCUGCACUGGACUGCCAUCCAUUAUGCGUUAAAGGCUGCAGUGAAGAUGGAUGGAUUGAUGUGUGUGUGUGUGUGUGUGUGUGUGUGUGUGUGUGAGAGGGAGAGAGAGUUUGUGUGCCGUCCUUCACGUCCUUGGCCCGUCCCUCACAAGAGAACUGUGCGUUACGAUUAAUUGGUGUGAACUGUCGGUGUAUGCAUCGCUUCCAUUGAAAUCAAUGGCAGGGGUGCAUUUUUUGAUGGAGACACACACAUUCUUGUGAAUCAUAAACCCCAAAUAAAUUCUAAGAUGGACUACCUAAAGGAAACCCCAAAGCACAGGGAGAGAAUGCAAACUCCGUGCACACACGGCAAAAUCAAGCCCCCAACCCUGGAGGAGCGAGGCAAAUGUGCUAACCACUAAGCCACCAUGCCCCCCGCAACUGCAAUCAUAAAC